GAUGAACGCUAGCUACAGGCUUAACACAUGCAAGUCGAGGGGUAACGAGAGGAAAGCUUGCUUUCCUUGUCGACGACCGGCGCACGGGUGAGUAACGCGUAUCCAACCUGCCCCCAACCAGGGAAUAACCUUGCGAAAGUAAGACUAAUACCCUAUAAUUUCCUCAGAUGUCAUCUGACGAGGAAUAAAGAUUUAUCGGUUGUGGAUGGGGAUGCGUCUGAUUAGCUUGUUGGCGGGGUAACGGCCCACCAAGGCAACGAUCAGUAGGGGUUCUGAGAGGAAGGUCCCCCACAUUGGAACUGAGACACGGUCCAAACUCCUACGGGAGGCAGCGGGGAGGAAUAUUGGUCAAUGGGCGGAAGCCUGAACCAGCCAAGUAGCGUGCAGGAUGACGGCCCUAUGGGUUGUAAACUGCUUUUAUACAGGAAUAAAGUUAGCCACGUGUGGUUAUUUGUAGGUACUGUAUGAAUAAGGACCGGCUAAUUCCGUGCCAGCAGCCGCCGUAA
rnacentral:rRNA from 1 species